AUUGAACGCUGGCGGCAGGCCUAACACAUGCAAGUCGAACGGUAACAGGAAGAAGCUUGCUUCUUUGCUGACGAGUGGCGGACGGGUGAGUAAUGUCUGGGAAACUGCCUGAUGGAGGGGGAUAACUACUGGAAACGGUAGCUAAUACCGCAUAACGUCGCAAGACCAAAAAGGGGGACCUUCGGGCCUCUUGCCAUCGGAUGUGCCCAGAUGGGAUUAGCUAGUAGGUGGGGUAACGGCUCACCUAGGCGACGAUCCCUAGCUGGACUGAGAGGAUGACCAGCCACACUGGAACUGAGACACGGUCCAGACUCCUACGGGAGGCAGCAGUGGGGAAUAUUGCACAAUGGGCGCAAGCAUGAUGCAGCCAUACCGCGUGUAUGAAGAAGGCCUUCGGGUUGUAAAGUACUUUCAGCGGGGAGGAAGGGAGUAAAGUUAAUACCUUUGCUCAUUGACGUUACCCGCAGAAGAAGCACCGGAUAACUCCGUG
rnacentral:rRNA from 1 species